CGAAAAAACUGAACGGGCAAAUAAUUCCUAAUCCCACGUCUCUCACAAACACAACAACAACGGCGGUGGCGGCGGCGAUUUGGAUCUGGGCGGCGGCGACUGAGCAAAACCACCCGUGAGGUCAAGGUACAUCUACCUCCAUUCACCCCUCCCCCUCUCUGCCUGCCUUCCUCACUCUCUUCCCCAGCGGGGUCGCCGUGAGUCCGUGACCGUGGACCGGCGGGGAAUUGGGGAACUCUGGUGAUGGGGAACAGGAAGCACCGGUGCUGUGCUGGAAAACGCAUGUGCCGGGGACAGGGAGACCUCCGGUGGUGGGGAAUGGAGUGAGCUAUGGCAAGCGUGCGCCAUCUGGAUGGGCGAUCUAGAUGGGUACUAGAAGCGCCGUCACACUAACACCAAGACGAUGGUGUCGUCACGCUGAGUCACCGACGACAUACUCCGUGUGGACGCCUCAUCCUGGUCUGGCUCCGCCAUGGACGCCGCAUCCUGAUCUGAGGCCGCUGAGGCAGUAGACCAAUGUCAUCGCCCCGUCUUGCAACCGCCACCGCAUCCUGGGCUUACUCCAUGCGGAUUCCACAUCAUGGACUAACGCCGCUGCGUCGCCUGUCCUGGUGAGGUAAUAUAAUCUUAUGUGAAAUACUACAGGAAUCGCAACCACAUGUACAUGCAUGUUAACAUCUCGAUUCAACCCAUGAUAUUGUCAUCAUUUUUUUCUUUUCGAAUGCAACUUUUAGCCCUGCAUAAAUGGCUAUUAGGAGAGCACGAUGCCAGCAGCACAAUAUAACUGAGUGUGUAAAGUUGUUUCUUCAAAACAUAGCUGCAAUGUGAUUGGAAAGAACCAGGUUUAUACAGUGAGGGGCGGGGGAUCCUGAAUGGAUGCAUAUAUUUCCUCAAAAAGGUAACUAGGCUCCCAAGUGCAGAAUGACGCAUAUGGUUAUUGUCUGUGUUAGUCUCUCUGCUGAAUCACCUUCAUAGCAGCAAGUACACCAGAAUUUUUUAUCUCUUUGCAUCAGAAUUGUUUCUUUGGUGCAGGGUUUCUACUGUUAUUGUAAAAUCUUAAAGAAACAUCCAUUCAUGGUCCAGAGAGUAAUAAGUUCCCUUGUUCAAAUAUAGAAGUGAUGUAUUUGCAAGCUUUCAUGCAAAACGGUUAUUUAAUCUCGAACAGCUGCAACUAUCCUGAUCUCACAAUGAUUAUGGAAAUUCAGUUGUUGUAGCAGAGUAUUCAUCUAAUACUCAUCUGUAUAUAUCUUCUUAAAUCUAAUAAGUGAAUGGAUGAUCAUGAAGUGAUCUUGAACUAUCAAGAUAUGAAAUCAUUUCUUGGUCUACUCCGACACGUGAUUAUGUGGAGCUUGUGAAGGAAACAGAAAAACCAGGAAGCUUGGCGAUCGUCUAUUGGCGACAACAUGGUAUACAUCUAAUUUUACAAGGAGCUUGUGAUUAUUUAUGGUCAUAUAGUGCUAAUAUUUUACUAGUUUCAUCUUGCAUGUUUGUGCCAUCAUUACUUUAUUAUUUUUCGCAUGAAAUGGCUAAUAUGACUUAAGUUAGAUCCAGCUAAAACACAUCCAAUUUUGAAGCUGAGUAAAAUAGAGAUGAAGAAGGUGUCACUUACCUAUCAUUCAUCAAGUGGUGCUCAGAUGGUAACUUGCAUACACAUCGUGGGAAGCUAACACUGACAAGAAGUCAGAAGCCUCAAGUUCCUGAAGUUCAUGGCAAAAAAAAAGAACCUACUAGACUUAAUGAGCGCAGACAAUGGAAUUCUUGAGAUUUUUUGUGCCAUUCAAAAAGAUGUGGCUUUAGGACAAUAUGCAGUAGCCUUGGAGCUUGUACAUUGGCAUGAGACCUCAUUAGUUACAGGGGAUUCAAUGACGCACAGCCUUGCAGCUUUGUACAUUGGCAUGAGACCUCAUAAGUUACAUGGAAUCAGUGACCCACAUUCAAGAUCAGAGUUUUUUUUAGGGAAUGAUCAGAGAGUGAGGAUGAGGAAACAUGCUUUUGUUAGAGUUGUUCAGGAUGAUGGGGGAUUCUUCUUAAAACUAUCUGCUCCUACUAAUAGACAUUGCUCCUGUCAAGUUUGCAAAAAAAUAAUAUUUUUGUUUGCAAUGGAAUAUGAGUGUAUUUUCUUUAGGAUGCAAUACAAAAAUACUUGUUUUCCGUGAUGUAAUACAUGGAUAUACUUGAUUC